rnacentral:lncRNA from 1 species
GAGAUCCGUUGAAUAAAGCUGCAGAGUCUUCCAAGUACGGCUCUCUACUCUGAGAUUUAGAUGAGAUCAUUCCCCUGCCGACUUAAUCGCAAAAGAGUCAUAACAAAAUCGAAAAUCGCCAUCAUCCCCUACAGUUAAACCAAAGAACCUUGAAUAGACCUCAAAUAUGGAUAUCCUCUUUAAAAAAAAAGCGAGUCUCAAGGCAUCUCGAAACCUAUGAAUAGAAGCUUCAAAUCUCUUAUAGUGCCAAAAAUCUUCAAAUGAAAUCUCUAUUUUGCUUUAGCUUCACUCGGGUUUGGACAUCCCAAUCACUGAUCCAAAGUUUUACCACACGCUAAACUUUACGAAACCUCUGUCUCCUUGUAAACGUGAAAGUACCUUUGAGAUCACUUUUAAUGGAAGUGAUUCUCGUAUCUUCACCUGGCCUUAAUAAUGCAACCAGAGGUUCUAGAAAAUAUUGAUGCUCAGCGAAAAGAUCUCUCAACAUCCAUUAACUCCAGAAGACAAAGGACAAACCCCCUGAAACACUAAUUGAACCUCAAACAAAACCUUUGUCGUCAACUGUGAGGAAACCUUAGAGAAAUCGCUUUUGUAAUCACUUCGUGCAAAACGCCUAACUUUUAUCUUCAUCUUCUGAUAGGACCGUAUUAUAUAAACUACGGAGAACUGAAUAUUGUAAAGAAUAAAUUUGAUAAAAUUAUAACAAAGAUUAAGAAAAAGAUGAUACAACUGCAGAGGCGAGAUAUUAUCUAUUUCCUUAACUCAAAAUACGUCCCGUAGUGCGAUAACGUAAUGAGUCCCAAGAUACAACUGCAAAAAAUCUUCUGAUUUGCGUCACUCUAUCAGAAGCCUGGCGAAACUAGUUUUGUGUGUACUCUCAGACUCAAAAAUGAAAAGAAGAGAAACACAAAAUUAAAGAAUCAAAUAUCCAAAUGGGAGAAAUAUUCAAAGUGAAAUAUUUGUUAAAAUUUAUAUUUAACCAAAUAUAAAGCUUAUAAGCUUUUCAUGUCAUUCACUUUGGAUCUCCAUUUCUCAUUCAAAACAACUUCGAUUUUGACCAACAAAUACACUAUUUCAUAGCGUUCACGGUGACGAUUACAUUGUGCCCAAAUUCCGGUCUUUCCGACAGACGUCUCCGUCGAAAAACCCAUCGGAAAAAUGGUCCACACCACUUUGUCAAAAACGAGUUCCAACAAUCCCCCACAUGAAUAUAAAUGACUCUAUACACAUGACUCAAGAAGAAAAAAAAAACUUUUGGGAGUAUGAGCGAAAAAUCCACUGCAUGAUGAGUUGGUAGCAAUUUUUCAGCCUUGAACCAGUCAUUGUUAAUAGCUAUCGGAUUUACUCGAACAAGAGGUAUAGAGUGUAAGUGCCUCCUUUUGCUUAACUCAAUUGUAUGAGAAUAACUGACUGCAACAAUCCGUUAUUAUAGACACCGUGAACACUAUGAUCCUUCCAAAAUAUUUCUUCCAUUCCUUAAACUGUAACCUCAGUUCUCUGACCACACUCUUAUGACUUAUGAGUUCUUGUAUUCCUCAUUUCCAGAAACUGAAACCACCAAUUUCUUUUUUCCCCAACACCACCGAAGUAAUCAGAGAUCUGUUGAAUAAAGCUGCAGAGUCUUCCAAGUACGGUUCUCUACUCUGAGAUUUAGAUGAGAUCAUUCCCCUGCCGCUUAAUCGCAAAAGAGUCAUAACAAAAUCAAAAAUCACCAUCAUCCCCUACAGUUAAACCAAAGAACCUUGAAAAGACCUCAAAUAUGGAUAUCCUCUUUAAAAAAAAGCAAGUCUCAAGGCAUCUCGAAACCUAUGAAUAGAAGCUUCAAAUCUCUUAUAGUGCCAAAAAUCUUCAAAUGAAAUCUCUAUUUUGCUUUAGCUUCACUCGGGUUUGGACAUCCCAAUCACUGAUCCAAAGUUUUACCACACGCUAAACUUUACGAAACCUCUGUCUCCUUGUAAACGUGAAAGUACCUUUGAGAUCACUUUUAAUGGAAGUGAUUCUCGUAUCUUCACCUGGCCUUAAUAAUGCAACCAGAGGUUCUAGAAAAUAUUGAUGCUCAGCGAAAAGAUCUCUCAACAUCCAUUAACUCCAGAAGACAAAGGACAAACCCCC